GGAUAGAUGCCCGAGUCGGCCAAAGGGAGCAGACUGUAAAUCUGCCGGCACUGCCUUCGUAGGUUCGAAUCCUACUCUAUCCACCA
rnacentral:tRNA from 1 species